AUCGCUUCUUGGCCUUUUAGCUAAGAUCAAGUGUAGUAUCUAGCACACACAAGGCCUGGCUUUGACCUCUAACACUGGAAAAAAUUUUGUUGUAAGUUUAUUAAACAAGAAAUACUAAGCAAUAAAAAUUCUCAAGAGCUCUUCGAUCUGCUCACCUAUGU
rnacentral:snRNA from 1 species